AAUGCACGUGACUUCAUCUUGACUGUUCACGAAAACGCUUGAAAAGAACACAUGAUCUGGAGGAAGCAGCAAUGUUGUUUGGACUCUCAUUCUGACGGCACCCAUUCACUGCAGAGGAUCCAUUGCUGAGAAAUUGAUGUAAUGCAAAAUUCCCCCAAAUCUGUUCCUGUGAAGAAACAAACUCAUCUACAUCUUGGAUGGCCUGAGGGGGAGUAGAUUUUCAGCAACUAUAUAACUAUAAAUGGAAAUGGAAAGACUGGACUUUUGACACACAUGAGUGCGUGAUUUUGCUUUUUUUAUUUUCCCAGCAUUGAAUCCAGCCAAGAGCUUGUGACACAAGAAGGCAUGCUUGUUAUUUGAGCACCCUGAGCAGUUAAGCCCGCCUCCUCACAUUGUGUUUUCAUGCACGUGACAUGCACAUUUCAACAAGUAGCUUUCAAGCAGGUGAAAGCAGCAUAUGCUCAAGGAACACGGCAGACACGGAUGUGGGGUCAUACACACUCUUAGCACAUUUAACACAGACCAUCAUCUGAAAGGACGAGACGAGUAUUCUAAUCAUUUCUGACAGGAAGCAUGAAACAUUUGUGUCAUUGUGUUCAUAUAGUGUGCAACAGAGUCACCUGCUGGACCCUUGGGCUAUUACAAAAAUUACAGUGCAAAAGCACGUGAUGUUUCCUGAUUUGUGAAUAUCAGGAAAGAACAUGUACUUUUGCACUGUAUUUAAUAUAAUGUGCCUUUGUCUAAUUAUAAUUGCAUUCUAAUUUCAAUUCACAUUUACUUUAUGUGAGUGUAUAUAUAGUUUUUACUCUAAACUGUGCAGUCUGUAAGUAUAAUAAAUGAAAUAAAAAUGUAUAAAGUGCAACUGUUUUAAUAAUAAUUAGUAAACACUAGAUUAAAACCAGAGACUGAAUCUACAGCUUCUCGUGGCUUGAUGAUUUAAUAUGGACAUACGUGAAUUUGUGAAGCAUAAUGACAUGGUCUAAAAUCAUUUGAAUGAUUUUAAUCAAGUGAUGUGGUUAUAUAAACUGCAGGAUUAUGGAACAGAGUUCAUUACAUGAA